AGGUCACUGCUAUCGGGGUUCGAUUAAGCCAUGCGAGUCGAGAGGGUUCGGCCCUCGGCGUACUGCUCAGUAACACGUGGAUAACCUGCCCUAGGGAAGGGGAUAACCCCGGGAAACUGGGGAUAAUACCCUAUAGAUUACAGAUGCUGGAAUGCCCUGUAAUCCAAAGUUCCGACGCCCUAGGAUGGAUCUGCGGCCGAUUAGGUUGUUGUUGGGGUAAUGGCCCAACAAGCCCGUAAUCGGUACGGGUUGUGGGAGCAAGAGCCCGGAGUUGGAUUCUGAGACACGAAUCCAGGCCCUACGGGGCGCAGCAGGCGCGAAAACUUUACAAUGCGGGCAACCGUGAUAAGGGAACCUCGAGUGCCUGUAAAUGCAGGCUGUUCAGGUGCCUAAAACACACCUGAAGAAAGGGCCGGGCAAGACCGGUGCCAGCCGCCGCGGUAAUACCGGCGGCUCGAGUGGUGGCCGCUUUUAUUGGGCUUAAAGCGUUCGUAGCUGGGUUGUUAAGUCUCUUGGGAAAUCUGGCGGCUUAACCGUCAGGCGUCUAAGGGAUACUGGCAAUCUUGGAACCGGGAGAGGUGAGGGGUACUU
rnacentral:rRNA from 1 species